GGGCAUGUAGCUCAGUGGUAGAGCACUUGCCUAACAUGUGCAAGGCCCUGAGUUCAAUUCCCAGCAACACUA
rnacentral:tRNA from 1 species